rnacentral:lncRNA from 10 species
GGACAGUAAAAUAUAUUUCAUAAAAUUAAGAACACACUAGUGUGUUGCUUGACUAUGGACUGCAUUGUUGGUAACAACCUCUUUCAUUCUUCUGUUUAUCUUUGGUGUGGUGGACUGAGCUACAAUCAGAAUUAUAAGGUCACAUUCAAAGAUGAUCAAGAAAACCAAAAGACUUCUGAGAAGUGGUUUGAAGAGUGAAUGAGGAAGCAGCCGGGCAUCUGUUUUACCAGUGGUAGACAUUCCAAGGUAGCUGGCUUGAGCAAACAAAGAGAACUUACUGGCUCACAUUACAAAAAAAAAAAAAAAUUCUGGAUAAACUGCAUUCAGGAGCAGCUGGACCAGACAGAACUCAGAAAUGAACUGCACGUCAGCUGUGCAGGCAGGGAGAAAGGAGGUGGAAGAGGCAAGGGAGCAAGAAAGGAAGGAGGGAAGCAAAAUAAACCCACUCCUGUGUAGAGCGUUGGAAAUGUGGCACUAACAAAGACUUCCUGUUCCACAUAGAAUCAGCGCUGGCAGAGGCGGCAUGCAGGGCUGUGGGUGUACUCAGCUGUGCAGAGCUGAUUAUAGAAGAUGAAAGGGCUUGGCAAUUUAUUUCAUCUCACACUGAAGCACUGCUGACAACUGAAAGUGAGGACAGAAGGAUUCAUUUGUUCAACUUCUGUUUUAAAAAACAGACUUCAAAUGAUACCACAGAGAAAAAGGAGGAAACGCUGCAGUGUAAUAAAAUGUCUAUUUUUAAAAAACACACUAGCUGCAGCAUUUUUAUUUCAUAGGUGGGUUUGAAGGCAAAGGGGUUGGCUUUUUUGUGGUUGUUAUCAAUUCCAGGGAAUGUGACAUGCACGCAGGAUCAAUUACUAAUCAAAUAGACCACGUUCACCUAAUCUGACCAAAGCUCUCGUGUACAUUCAUCCUUGAGUCCAAAGAUGAGUCACAGUGAGGAAAACCUAACCCUGCAGUGUUUAAAUACUUCCUAUGCAGGAUCUUUAUACUAAAACUGAAUAAAUGUAUGAUAUAUGAUGGAGAAUCUAUUUUAAAUUUUAUAAUCCUGGUCAUCUUAAUUUUUA